rnacentral:rRNA from 1 species
AAACUCCGAAUGCCGGUGACAAAUAUCCGGGAGUCAGGCUGCGGGAGAUAAGUUCCGUAGCCAAGAGGGAAAGAGCCCAGACCGACAGCUAAGGUCCCCAAAUCCAGACUAAGUGUGAAAGGAUGUGGGAACUCUCAGACAGCCAGGAGGUUGGCUUAGAAGCAGCCACCCUUUAAAGAAAGCGUAAUAGCUCACUGGUCGAGAGAGCCUGCGCCGAAAAUAUAACGGGGCUAAGUCUGGUACCGAAGCUUCGGACUCGUAAGAGUGGUAGCGGAGCAUUCUCAGACAGAUACAUGGUGUACCGAGAGGAGCACUUCGGGGUCUGAGAAGAGCUUAUGCAGGCAUGAGUAGCGAUAAACAGGGUGAGAAACCCUGUCGCCGUAAGCCCAAGGUUUCCUGGGGUAGGAUAAUCCUCCCAUGGGUUAGUCGGAACCUAAGCUGAGCCCGAAAGGGGUAGGUGAUGGCAAGCAGGUUAAUAUUCCUGCACCACCAGGGAUGACAUUGAAGCAAGCAGUGACGGAGAAGGGUAGGUCGAUCCAGGAGUUUGGUUUUCCUGGUUCAAGCCCGUAGGCAGUCGUCAUAGGAGUCAACAGACACAAACGUGAUGACAAUGCCGAGAGGUGAUGAGGUGAGACUUCGGUCUCGCAACUCGGUGAUCCCAGGCUUCCGAGAAAAGCUGCGUGAGGAGUCCCUCUGGUGUCCGUACCGCAAACCGACUCAGGUGGGCGGGGUGAGUAUCCCAAGGCGCGCGAGAGAACACUGGCUAAGGAACUCGGCAAAUUUACACCGUAACUUCGGGAGAAGGUGUGCCCCCUCGUGUGAAGCGACUAGCUCGCGGAGCAUCUGGGGGUUGCAGAGAAAUGAGGGUUGCGACUGUUUACUAAAAACAUAGGACUCUGCGAACUCGCAAGAGGACGUAUAGGGUCUGACGCCUGCCCGGUGCCGGAAGGUUAAGGGGAGCUGUCAGCGCAAGCGAAGCAGCGAACCGAAGCCCCGGUAAACGGCGGCCGUAACUAUAACGGUCCUAAGGUAGCGAAAUUCCUUGUCGGGUAAGUUCCGACCUGCACGAAUGGCGUAACGACUUCCGCACUGUCUCAACCAGAGACUCAGCGAAAUUGAAUUCUCGGUGAAGAUGCCGAGUACCCGUGGCAAGACGGAAAGACCCCGUGAACCUUCACUACAGCUUGACACUGAUUUUCGGGCAAUUUUGUGUAGCAUAGGUGGGAGGCUAUGAACUGUGGACGCUAGUUUGCAGGGAGCCACCGUUGAAAUACCACCCUGAAUUGUCUGGAGAUCUAACCGUGACCCACACCGAAUCCUUAACAGCGCCCAAGACCACGUCUGCGCCGCCGUCCCUCAGCGCAAGGGCGAGGUUCGCUGUCUCGGAAGUGACGUGCAGGCAGGCGGUGAUCCGCAGCUUGUCCAGCGGCUUCUCCCUGGCAAAGCGCUCCCUGAUCUGACGCACUACCGGCAUUUCGCGUGCGGCCCACUCGAUGCGUAGGGCGCCCUCGGCCGCGAGUGAGAUGUCCCGAAUGUCCCCGUUGAUCGCCUUUGUUAUCAAGGUGUCCUCCUGAAAAUUAACGUUACUGUGUCGGGGUAGCUAACCACCCCUCCUGGGUAGUGAUUCAUCGUGCCCGAGAGGGGGCAGUCGCGUGAGCUGUGUCAAUGCUCGGAAGCGCUCGU